GGAUAAUAUUUUGAACCGCAUGGUUCAAAAGUGAAAGACGGUCUUGCUGUCACUUAUAGAUGGAUCCGCGCUGCAUUAGCUAGUUGGUAAGGUAACGGCUUACCAAGGCAACGAUGCAUAGCCGACCUGAGAGGGUGAUCGGCCACACUGGAACUGAGACACGGUCCAGACUCCUACGGGAGGCAGCAGUAGGGAAUCUUCCGCAAUGGGCGAAAGCCUGACGGAGCAACGCCGCGUGAGUGAUGAAGGUCUUCGGAUCGUAAAACUCUGUUAUUAGGGAAGAACAUAUGUGUAAGUAACUGUGCACAUCUUGACGGUACCUAAUCAGAAAGCCACGGCUAACUACGUGCCAGCAGCCGCGGUAAUACGUAGGUGGCAAGCGUUAUCCGGAAUUAUUGGGCGUAAAGCGCGCGUAGGCGGUUUUUUAAGUCUGAUGUGAAAGCCCACGGCUCAACCGUGGAGGGUCAUUGGAAACUGGAAAACUUGAGUGCAGAAGAGGAAAGUGGAAUUCCAUGUGUAGCGGUGAAAUGCGCAGAGAUAUGGAGGAACACCAGUGGCGAAGGCGACUUUCUGGUCUGUAACUGACGCUGAUGUGCGAAAGCGUGGGGAUCAAACAGGAUUAGAUACCCUGGUAGUCCACGCCGUAAACGAUGAGUGCUAAGUGUUAGGGGGUUUCCGCCCCUUAGUGCUGCAGCU
rnacentral:rRNA from 1 species